ACGGUGUGCGGGUGCUUCUUUAUGGAAGGGAACCCAGUUACCUUCUCCUCUCCUCUGUGUUAGGAUCACCGUCCUGGUCAACAUAGAGCAUAUGCGUGUGCAAAGUUCCCCACCGAGGAGACGACGCACGUUGGGUGCGACGGAUCGCAAGUUCCUAGAGUGACGCUCAGUGAGAACCAGGAGUGUGAUGGCCUUGGCAUGUGAUGGUGAUGGAGCUGAAGGUGUCCUCGAUCUUCGCGCAGUGACCUCCUCUAAGGUCCUCUGUAGCCACCCGGCCUCAGGCAUUCUCGGAGUGAUUCCUGUGAUGCCUCAAGAACACCGUGGACGCCUGAGGAUGAUUUCACGGGUUUCAUUCCAUACCACGUGACCACCGUCAGGGGAGAUGAUGAACAGACUUGCCGGUAGAGGAGAAGACAAGAAGAGGCUUGAUCUCCUGGGGUCUUCAUCAUCCAGAUAACGGGUUUUCUCAAGGAUUCCAUGGUCCAGUCUUGAAAAUGCGAAUACCUACAAGUUCGAGAAGAUGCUUUGAGGAGAAGAACUGAAGAUCAGUCGUCUUCUCACUGGGACCUCAUAGUACUCUUGGCAGAUCCGACGUAGAUGGAAUAGGAGGUUCAUGUCCGUAGCCGGCCAGCCCAGAGCCUGUGAGGGGGGAUCCCCAUGGACGCAGCUGCCUCAUCUUGUCUUUGCGUGACCUCUGAGGUGGCGAGACCCGUGGUAAGUGUUUCGUAUCGCUGCUGGGAAUACAGAACCGGAAAACAGGUAAAUACACAGCGUUUGGCCUUCUGUAGGCAACGUGCGAUUGUGGUCUGCUGCCGUUGCUGUUACUGUUAAUAGGUAUUCAUUCCUGUCUCAGUGAGAGGUGACCUUGAAACCGGUUUGAUUGAAUACCAUGGGGUAAUGUCACCAACG